AUGAUUUACAUCUUGCAACUUGCUCAAGGCUAAUGGCUUUCUCUUCACUAAUACUUGCUGAAGGUGGAGGGAAUGGUCCACGUCAUCUCGUAUCACAAGCAUUUGGUUGGUUUAAGUAAACCAUGUUAUUCAGGCUCACAGAUAUGAGGGAACAAGAUUGCUGAAUGAAUAUUGGCAGAAGGAAGGCAGGCCUGCUCCCCAGAAUAGACCAUCAUCUCUGAGAAUAGCCAAUGCAGUCCUGAGGAUACCCACUCCACUGUGCUUAUUGUUGAAGCAAGAGGUAAGAAUUCCUUUCACACAGGACAAAGUGUGAGUGUGAGGAGACUUCCAGAGGGAGCAGUUCCAGCAGGUCACCACAGCAGAGCUCCCAGCAGGCUCUCACAGGCAACAACAACACAGACGAGAGCGAGCCAGAGAGAGCAGGAGUCGAGCGCUACUGCCCAAAGAUGGCCUACAGAACUGGCUGAUGAUAUCUCUGUCUGUCCUUCCGAGAGAGCAAAGGCAGCUCUGGUUGAUCUAAUGAUUUAGUAUUCCCCCUCCCCUUCGCAUUUUAAUGCUCUGUGCCAGUCCGGUCCACCAUCUUGUUUUUCGCCCCGGAGUGCUAGUCGUGUAACGAGACACUUUGUGAAAAUACAUAGCAGGCGUUUAUUCAUGCAGUGUUGCCGUUAUUAAGAAACAUCAACAAAAUAUGCAGCUUUGCGAUUUAUUAAAGCAUUAUUCACUUAAACGUGUUUUGAAAGGAUUCCAGAUGCACUAAACC
ensembl:lncRNA